CCUUCCACAGGUCGGACCAGUACCAGGCUGUCACCACCACAGAAGAGCCCCCUUGACCCCCCAGCUGGGCCACUCUCCAGUGAGAAAAUACAUAAGAUGUGGUCCAUAGCCAGGGUGCAGCCCACAAAGCCCCAGCCCAGUAUGCAGAGCAGCAGACCCAGGAUCUGAGCCAGUCUCCUCCACAUCCUCUCAGUCUGAUAUACGAGUUUUUGAGGAAUGGUGUCGUCUCGCUCCUCGAACUGCCUGACAGCGACGAAACUGUCCGGCUGCCGCUGCUGCUGCUGCUCCUCGACCCGGACAACGUUGAC